rnacentral:lncRNA from 1 species
AACCCAAGACCAGUUCUCGGCGCGCGAAUCUGGCAAAACUCCAGUUUUGCCUAUUUGAGUGCGCCGAGUCUAUUUCUGCAUCCAUUUCACGCAGAAACGACUCCGACUCAGUCCAACACUCUUCAGAUGUGUCGACCAGUCACAAAUACUGAAGCCAAUUCUAUCCAAAGUUCAGAAACACUAUACUAAGUUGGACAAAAUAGUGACGUUUACCAUUUUUUUAAGUUUUAUUAAAGAAAGUAAACGAUUCAUGGCACUGAGUUGGACAAAAUAGAAUUAUUUGACCAAAUAAAUCUUUAUCAGAAUUAUUUAGCAAUUUAUAAAUUUUUUAAGAAUU